CUGUGGGACCAGCAGCCCUCUGAAGAUCUGGAUCUUCCUGGAUCCUAUCUCUGAGUGCAUACCAGGCCAGUGAGAGCUCUCUUCACUUCUCACCAUAGCAGCUUCAAUAUGUAUUUUCCCCAGCUCAUCUUUCCAAGAACACAUGGUGUAUGAGUUUUGUAUCAUUUCCAGUACAGAAUAACUUUGCCAUACAUAGGAAGAUACGUUAGCAGAUCUAGGAAAAAAAGAUAAACAAUCAUAUGUAGUCUGCUUCAGUUUUUUCAUGUGGUAAACGUAGGAAGAUUCCUUUAAGUAAUUAAUCCAAUAACUAAAAACUUUUCCCUUUUUGUCCCCUAUGGCUGCCUUCCCCAUAUUCUUACAUGGUUGGGUGGGAGGCACUCUCAAUCCUCUAUGUCACAGUAGGUGUCUAUUACUGAGUUAUGGUUAGAGUUUGGGUGUGAUGGAUGGGCUUGCAAGGGAAGGAGCCUGCUGGUGGCAUUCACCACUGUGAAGACUGGUCAUUAUCAAAGUGAACAAUAUCAAUUCAGUUAAACCAGUCACAAAUGUUUCAUCUGAACUGCAGUUCAUGUUACUUAAAUGCUAACAGUGCAUUUAAUCUCACUAUGAAUAGAGAAACAGCAGAGGAGACAACAACAUGAAGUUUGCAGUUUGUCCCAGGAUGCAUGGAGAGACCAAUCAGGAUCAAGCAGAAUUCAAGAAAUAGAGACUGAUUGACACUUUUUGCCAAAUCACUGCAAGAGUAAAAUAAAGAGCAAAUCCCCAGAUCACCUCCAGAUACUGAACUGAAAACAAACCACUUCAUUCAUCAUGCUCUGUAUACAACUGAACUUUAUUUAUACAAAGGAAAAAAUCUCUGCAAAGACAUCAAACAACUGUUCAGAGGUGGUAGGAAUUAAUUCAGUGAUACAAA